AUGAUCGAAGUGGGUGACUUUGGAGAGAUUCUUUCAGACGAUACAGUGCACUCUCUGCAACUCUUGGACCCGCCUGACGCCCAGGAGCCCGAAUGUUGUGCAAUAUCGCAACAUGCAGUUUCUGGCGAGGAAGCACCCUCCACCAUUCGUCGGCGCGCACAAGUUGGAGAUCAAUACAUGCUGUUUUUAGUGGAUUCAGGCAGCUCUCACAGUUUCAUCAGCGACUCCUUUGUGCAGCGCAUGUCAGCCAAAACUGAGGCCUUACCACCGGUGUCAGUCCGGGUGGCGAAUGGGCAACGUUUGCAUUGCAACAAGAUCGUUCGGCAACUGGGAUGUCAAGUACCUGGACACACUUUUCAUACAGAUUUCAGAGUACUGCCACUGGGAGCGUAUGAUGGAGUCCUCGGCAUGGAUUGGUUGGCCUCACACAGCCCCAUGAACUGCCAUUGGCAAUGGAAAACGAUCACAUUCCAAACAGAAGGGAAGACCGUGCAUCUCCAGGGCGUCAGAACCUCAGAUCUUCCACCAAUUACUGAAUUAGAUGCGUAUGAACUACAUCGCAUGGAAGUGGCCAACGAUAUUUGGACUGCAGCUCUCGUUACCGUUGAGCGGGCAGAUAAAGAGCUUGCAGAACCAGUUCCACCAGACAUUCAGAAAGUGUUGUCGAAGUAUCAGGACAUGUUCGGUGAACCAACAACAUUACCACCUCGUCGACAAUAUGAUCAUGGUAUUCACCUCGAGCCGGGCACUGUCCCCAUCAAGACCAAGCCCUAUUGCUACUCACCUGCUCAGAAGGACGAGAUUGAGAAACAAGUGCAAGACAUGCUGAAAACUGGCGUCAUUACUCACAGUAUGAGCCCGUACGCUACACCAGUUCUGUUGGUAAAGAAAAAAGAUGGCAGCUGGCGAUUCUGUGUUGAUUUCAGAUGA
rnacentral:rRNA from 1 species